CAGUGCUGGACAAAAAUUCUCAGAAUGCAGGUCCUUCUCUUUGGAGAGGAUGUUUGGAGCUACAGGCGUUGGAGGAUGCAAAUAAAGUUCAUUGCCAUGGCUUUGAGUUGCAGUUGGAGCGUCACAGAAGCAAAUCACCCCUGUUGUCUCCAAAACAGUCAGAAGUACUUCUGCAAGAAGUAUCGUGUUGCAUGUGUUCUCCCAUACUGCAAGUUGUGGAUGAGUGUGAUUUUGCGUCAAUUCCUCCUUAUCUUC